AAAGAGGAUUGAAGGCAAUUGGAGGAGAGUAUUAUAUUGUUGCACACAGUUAAGAAUACUUGAAAAACCAGUAAACCUUUCAAAACACUUUCUAAUUCCAGUAUUGGCAUACCCCAAGGAGCUUUAAAUGGGGCCUAUGAAACAGUGAAGGCCAAACUCCCUGGGGGCCUAUCAAAAAACUCCUUAUCAGAAAUUGACCUUUCUGGGCUGGGGAUGUGGCUCAAGCGGUAGCGCGCUCUCCUGGUAUGUGUGGGCCCGGGUUCGAUCCUCAGCACCACAUACGAACAAAGAUGUUGUGUCCGCCGAAAACUAAAAAAAAAAUAAAUAUUAAAAAAAAAAAAAAAAAGAAAUUGACCUUUCUGGCUGGUGAGGUGACACAUGCCUAUAAUCCCAGCAGUUUGGGAGGCUGAGACAGGAGGAUUGCAAGUUCAAAGUCAGCCUCAGCAAAAGUGAGGUGCUAAGCAAUUUAGUGAGACCCUGUACCUAAAUAAAAUACAAAAUAAGUCUGGGGAUGUGGCUCAGUGGUUGAGUGCCCCUGAGUUUAAUCCCCGGUACCCUCCUACCCCACCCCAAAUUGACAUUUCUGCCUGCCUGAACAAUGCUUUCCUGGUAAUUUCCAUUCUCAUGUGGCACCAAAUAUCCCUCCCCUGGCACAUUCAAGACCAUCCUUGCUCCUGGGCCAUUAACUGAGCCAGGUCUCCCUUCACUUCCUGAAGAACUUCUUGUACUUUGGCAAAUUUUGUCUGUCUCUUAGGGUCCUACUCAAAUGCUAGCCAACUUAAAGUCUAGGCCCUGGUAUUAACUCACAUUUAAUUCACAUUCAUUAAACAUUCUACAGUGUGUACUUCCAUACAAAUUAAAUCAUUU
rnacentral:lncRNA from 1 species